GGGUCGAUGGCGUAGUUGGUUAUCGCAUCUGUCUAACACACAGAAGGUCACAAGUUCGAUCCUUGUUCGACUCA
rnacentral:tRNA from 1 species